rnacentral:lncRNA from 1 species
GUUCAAGGCUCAAAUUUUCACCUCUUAGGAUAUCCUCCCUCUGCCCCAGACACCAGGCUGUCUUUCCCAGGGUGAGUAGCCAGUGAUAAGGGUUUUAGGCCACGGAAUCUUUAGCAAGUCCCUGUGCAACUCAAAAUCUCUGGUUCUAUCAGCGUUUUGAAACUCAUCUAUGGAGAAGGCUGUGUUCUACCUUCUCCUCUGAGCCUGGCAGAGCCAGAGCUGACCUCACUCUCCUAAGCUCCACUGACCUCCACCUCCAUUUCAUACCAGCCAUAUCUUGAGACUCUCAUCUUCAUGCAACCCUACUCGUCAAACUAGAUCUUGAGUUUGGGGCCUACCUCUUCUGAUUCCAGCCCCUUUCUCCCUUCUUCAAGGAACAAACUCUUUGUCUUCCCUCUCUGGGACUUCCCAUUGCUUGACUGGCCACCUAGUCCAUUGUCUCCUCCUCAGAGUCCAUGAAUGUCCUGGGCUGCCUGAAGUCUAGAACUGACCUCUUCAGUAUUUCUCUCACCAGCAUUACAGGUUCUAUUAGCCCUUUGGCCAUUUGCUGUGACAAUCCCCAACCCUGAGCCACCCCUAUGCCCCUUCUCCUCCCUGUGACAAGACCUUAUAAAUAGGCUUGCAUCUUACACUCAUUGCCUGCAGCAAGAAACUGCAAUAUCAAAUUCACCAAGUUAUCAUAAUGCAAAGAAAUACACUGGACUUGGCUGGGUGUGAGCCCCCGUGCCCGGCGGGGGAAGAGCAGUUCUUAAGCACAGCACCCCAUUAAUUCAUAAGCACAUGAAAAUUAAAUUUUUAGACAGGGACUCAUGGAGGUGUGGAGCUAGAAAUUUGUGUCUUCAAGCCAAGUCAACUGAGGGUGAAUUUUCCAGCUGCCUCUUUCCAUACUUCCCAUUAAAAGAAGACAACAUUUUUUUCUCCAGGAUGUUUUUUUUCAGUUUGUAUUCUGUUUUAUCCAAAUUGAUAGUUGUUCACUGUCAAACAAGUAACCAUUCAUGCAAGAAUUCCCACCUAUAUCUGCCUCUUAUCAUUACCAUAACCUUAAGGGAACCCCUCUGCUCUCUUCCUGAUCUGAGAUUCUCCAUCUCUAAGAAGAGGGAGUGAGAUUAGAUGAGCUUCAAUGGCCCGUUUGGCUCUGACAUUCUAUCCCCGAUUUUACUAACAGACAGCUCUUAGUGCCCAACUUUAAAUAUUCCCGA